AUUUAUAUAGUAUAAAAGUAUAUAUGACUUCCAAUCAUAAGGACUACAUAACCGUAGUAUAAAUA
rnacentral:tRNA from 1 species